rnacentral:rRNA from 1 species
UGGACGGGGUGCACCAGGCGCGAAAACUCCGCAAUGCGCGCAAGCGUGACGGGGGGACCCCAAGUGCCGUUGGUCUUUCGAUCGACGGUUUUUAGGAAGUCUAAGAAGCUUCCGGAAUAAGGGCUGGGCAAGACUGGUGCCAGCCGCCGCGGUAACACCAGCAGCCCGAGUAGUGGCCACGAUUAUUGGGCCUAAAGCGCUCGUAGCCGGACCAGCAAGUCCCUUGUGAAAUCGGGCCGCCCAACGGUUCGGCGUGCAAGGGAUACUGUUGGUCUUGAGGCCGGGAGAGGUCGGAGGUACUCCUAGGGUAGCGGUGAAAUGCUCUAAUCCUAGGGGGACCACCAGUGGCGAAGGCGUCCGACCAGAACGGACCUGACGGUGAGGGGCGAAGGCUAGGGGAGCGAACGGGAUUAGAUACCCCGGUAGUCCUAGCUGUAAAGCAUGCGGGCUAGGUGUCUAGUGCUCCUCGAGGGCACUAGGUGCCGGAGGGAAGCCGUUAAGCCCGCCGCCUGGGAAGUACGGCCGCAAGGCUGAAACUUAAAGAAAUUGGCGGGGGAGCACCACAAGAGGUGGGACCUGCGGUUCAAUUGGAUUCAACGCCGGAAAACUCACCAGGGGCGACAGCUGGUUGACGGCCAGGUUGACGAUCUUGCCCGACUAGCUGAGAGGUGGUGCAUGGCCAUCGUCAGCUCGUACCGUGAGGCGUCCUGUUAAGUCAGGCAACGAGCGAGAUCCUCGCCCUUAGUUGCCAUCGGUGGAAAAGCCGGGUACUCUAGGGGGACCGCUGGCGCUAAGUCAGAGGAAGGAGAGGGCGACGGUAGGUCAGUAUGCCCCGAAUCCCCUGGGCUACACGCGGGUCACAAUGCGCAGGACAAUGAGAUGCAACCCCGUGAGGGGAAGCCAAGCCCAUAAACCUGCGCUCGGUUCGGAUCGAGGGCUGUAACUCGCCCUCGUGAAGCUGGAAUCCCUAGUAAUCGCGUGCCAACACCGCGCGGUGAAUGCGUCCCUGCUCCUUGCAAGAAUUCGCCGA